CCCUGGGGGGAGACGGGGGCUCAGCCUCAGGGGGAGCCUCGGAGUCCGGAGGCAGGCGCUGCUCCUGACACGGCCCUUCCAUUUCCCCGAAGAGCCCUUACGUGCCCCCGGCUGCCGCAGUUCUCUGGCCCCGGCCCCUGGCUCUCCCAUGUCCUCUACACCUGGGGCCCAGCUCCCGGCCCCUGGUGACCCCCAAGUCUCCAAGGGGAGGAGAGGAUGCCUAGGCCUAGUCGGGGAAGCUGCUUCCAGACGUUUCUCAAACCUGCCCUGGCUGGUAUGGCUCAGUAGGUUGGAGCACCAUCCCGUGUACCGGAAGGUCGUGGGUUCGAUCCUGGGUCAAGGUGCAUGUGAGAGGUAACCGAUCAAUGUAUCUCUCUCACACUGAUGUUCCUUUCUCUUUCCCCUCCCCCUUCCAUAGAAAUCAAU